rnacentral:rRNA from 1 species
UACAGAGGGUGCAAGCGUUAAUCGGAAUUACUGGGCGUAAAGCGCACGUAGGCGGCUUGGUAAGUUGGGUGUGAAAUCCCCGAGCUUAACUUGGGAAUUGCAUUCAAGACUGCCUUGCUAGAGUGUGGGAGAGGGAAGCGGAAUUCCAGGUGUAGCGGUGAAAUGCGUAGAUAUCUGGAGGAACAUCAGUGGCGAAGGCGGCUUUCUGGCCCAACACUGACGCUGAGGUGCGAAAGCGUGGGGAGCAAACAGG